rnacentral:lncRNA from 10 species
GCAGAGGUUACCUCGUAAAUAGCAUGACCUCUGCUAAAAAAAGUAGGAUGAAUCCUAAGGAAGUUAAUAGCUGAAGGCUGCAGCUACUAGAUUCCAGAGAGUGGCCUGGGGCACAAGAUACUCAACCAGAGCAGACAGUGUCAGCCUCUGUCAUGGAAAGAUUGAACAGGAGAAUCUGGAACCAGGAGUGAGCAGAGCUGGCCCCAGGCCUUGGUGGCUGUGUACUAGUUCUGUGACCUGCAAUCAGUCACUUAACUUCUGUGAGCUCCUCUCUUUCCGUCUGUAAAAAAGGAAUAUGUACUACCCACUUCCUGAGUAGAUGUUGAAGAUGUUGUAAAAGGUUCGAGUCAACCAAUUAAAAGCAAUAGAUCACAUGAAGAUGAGUAUAUCUUCUGUUUGUUGGGACAUAAUCCAGAGAGGAUCUUUCUCCCCAGAUAUUAUGGGAUGGCCACAUUUUACAGCUGAGAGUGACAAGGCUUAGAAACUAAACAUAUAAGGUCCUGCCCCAUCUCCUGGAAGAAGGAAUGCUACACAGAGAGGCUAAGAAGACUCUGGACAGGUAGUGCUGGUUUUCUCCACUCAGUCUUUGAGAAUUAGAUCAUACCCUUUUUGUCUGAUCUUAUUUCUACAUGGUUGUUAACCAUGCCUAUCCAAUGAACUCUUUCUUAAAGGCCCCAGAGGACAGGGUUUGUAGAACUUCUGAUAGCUGAACAUGGGGAGGUUUCUGGAAGGUGAUAUGCCCAGGUAGGGGAUGGAAGCUCUGCCCUCCUUCUCUCAUGCCUUGCCCUAGGAUGUAACUCAUUUUACCCAUUUUCUCCUCUCCUCUCAUCUUCUCUUCUUUUUGUAAAUUAUUUUCCUCUUUCAGACUGCUUUUCCUGACAAAGCUGAAACUAUUACUGGGCAUAGUUCUGUACUUGUACCUUCAGGCCUUAUGAACCUAAGAGAAAACUUUCCCUACCACCUCAAGUGAGAAAAACACCGGGGAAGGACACAGUCCUAUAUGAAAUUAUUUGUCAGGCAUUGAGGAGAAACCGAUUCAUGUCAGCCCCAUAAACGAUUAUUUGCCCGGCACUUGGGAGACACCUACAUUCCAAGGGAAGGAAAAUGGGGCCUUUCUGAGCCAACAAAACUGAGAGUUUCCUUAGCCUUUUAUAAACACUCAUAUCAGAAAACUCCACCUCCUGGUAGAGACAUUGUAAAGGUCCAUGGCAUAACUGCUAAGCCCUGCUCUGCCCCCCAGGGCUAAAGAAGCAUCUCAGAGGCUUGGCAAAGUUGUACACACAGUACAUCUCAAAUCAUCUCAUUUCUGUAAAGCCAUAACAUCGGCCAAAUUCCAUAUUACAUUUUUGCAAACCCAUUUAUUUUACACAGACUAGGUGUUUCCAUCAUAUUUCUGUGGCAGAUUGAUCACAG